rnacentral:rRNA from 1 species
AAUCAACGCUGGCGGCGUGCCUAACACAUGCAAGUCGCACGAGAAAGGGGAGCAAUCCCUGAGUACAGUGGCGCACGGGUGAGUAACACGUGAAUUAUCUACCUCCGAGUGGGGAAUAACUGAGAGAAAUCUUAGCUAAUACCGCAUAACACUUACGAGUCAAAGCAGCAAUGCGCUUGGAGAGGAGUUCGCGGCAGAUUAGUUAGUUGGCGGGGUAAGGCCCACCAAGACGAUGAUCUGUAUCCGGCCUGAGAGGGCGCACGGACACACUGGAACUGAAACACGGUCCAGACUCCUACGGGAGGCAGCAGUGGGGAAUUUUGCGCGAAUGGGGGAAACCCUGACGCAGCAACGCCGCGUGGAGGAUGAAGGUCUUUGGA